UUCAAUACUGCUCUUAAAAGGCAGUGUGCACUUUUCCCUUAGUAAGACGUUGUGAUCCAUUAGGAAUCGAGAGUGCAUCAUGUGCUCUCAAUAGGUUGCCAAUAGGCCGGCAUUGAAGUUCUCAAUGACAAACAACACAAUCUUCUGGUUGGGUAUAUUGUCUUGUGAGCGUGUCGUUUUCUGAUGCAACUGCCUGAUGGAUAUUAGAGGCCACAUCACUGAUGCUUGCAUCACCCGUACGCCGGGAAUUGCGAUGUGUGCCCGAUCAACAACGGUUUCAUUUGGGAUACCUUUGGGACCCGUCUUGAAACACGGACCAAGGAGUCUAUCUAGUAUGCAAGUAAAUGGGAACGUAAACCUAUUUGCGUAAAAAACUUGACUGUAAUAUAAUGGGAUUACGUGUGGAUUGCUUUAUUGUGUCUGCACCUCCAUCCCGGGGUAUUUACACCACAUAUGUGAGCAAUUGCAUAUAGUAAAUAUACCAUGAGCAUACUGGACAUGACCCGAAAGAUGGUGAACUAUGCCUGAUCAGGUUGAAGUCAGGGGAAACCCUGAUGGAGGACCGAAGCAAUUCUGACGUGCAAAUCG
rnacentral:rRNA from 1 species